rnacentral:rRNA from 1 species
CCAGACUCCUACGGGAGGCAGCAGUGAGGAAUAUUGGUCAAUGGUCGGGAGACUGAACCAGCCAAGCCGCGUGAGGGAGGAAGGUACAGAGUAUCGUAAACCUCUUUUGUCAGGGAGCAACGCCGGCUACGUGUAGCCGGACUGAGAGUACCUGAAGAAAAAGCAUCGGCUAACUCCGUGCCAGCAGCCGCGGUAAUACGGAGGAUGCGAGCGUUAUCCGGAUUUAUUGGGUUUAAAGGGUGCGCAGGCGGAAUGUCAAGUCAGCGGUAAAAUUUCGGGGCUCAACCCCGUCGUGCCGUUGAAACUGGCGUUCUUGAGUGAGCGAGAAGUAUGCGGAAUGCGUGGUGUAGCGGUGAAAUGCAUAGAUAUCACGCAGAACUCCGAUUGCGAAGGCAGCAUGCCGGCUCCACACUGACGCUGAGGCACGAAAGCGUGGGUAUCGAACAGGAUUAGAUACCCCAGUAGAC